UGGUCAGAACAGGAAAGAGGCAUACUGUCUAUAAGUCUAAAACUGGAGUUCAGUCUCACUCAGCAUCAAAACAUGAGAGAACUGACACCACUCUGCUGGCAGCUCUUGCUGUUGAGUACACUGGUAUACUGUAGCCUCGGACAAGGUGGAGUUCUCUCUUAUUCAGCCUCUCUGAGUGUCAGUCCUGACAGAUCUCAGUUCUUUGAAUAUGAGUCUGUCUCUCUGAGCUGUGAGGUUCAGGGGAACUCUGCUGGAUGGAGAGUGAUGAGGAACACAUUGAGAGGAAACCUUUCAGAGUGUAAUACUGACUGGGGAAAACAACAGGGGUCUUCAUGCAUUGUGUCACUAAUACCAUCAGACAGUGGAAUGUACUGGUGUGAGUCUGGGUCUGGAGAACACAGCAAUGCUGUCAACAUCACAGUACCUGCUGGAGCUGUGAUCCUGGAGAGCCCUGUCCGUCCUGUGACUGAGGGAUAUUCUGUGACUCUGCGCUGCAGACAUCAGGGAACUCCCUCUGAUCUCACAGCUGAUUUCUACAAAGAUGGAUCCCUCAUCAGGACUGAGACUACAGGAGAGAUGACUAUCCCUGCAGUAUCCAAGUCAGAUGAAGGACUCUACAAGUGUACCAGCUCUGAAGGAGAAUCACCAGAGAGCUGGAUGACUGUGACAGAUAUCUCUCUUCCAGCUUCUCUGAGUGUCAGUCCUGACAGAUCUCAGUUCUUUGAAUAUGAGUCUGUCUCUUUGAGCUGUGAGGUUCAGGGGAACUCUGCUGGAUGGAGAAUGCUAAGGAACGCAGAGAGAGGGAAUGUUUCAGAGUGUAAUACUGACUGGGGAAAACAACAAGGGUCUUCAUGCAUCGUGUCACUAAUACUAUCAUACAGUGGAGUGUACUGGUGUGAGUCUGGGUCUGGAGAACACAGCAAUGCUGUCAACAUCACAGUACAUGCUGGUGCUGUGAUCCUGGAGAGACCUGUUUAUAUAUUAUAUACAGCUGGAGCUGUGAUCCUGGAGAGACCUGUUUAUAUAUUAUAUACAGCUGGAGCUGUGAUCCUGGAGAGACCUGUUUAUAUAUUAUAUACAGCUGGAGCUGUGAUCCUGGAGAGACCUGUUUAUACAUGAUGUUUAUAUAUUAUAUACAGCUGGAGCUGUGAUCCUGGAGAGACCUGUUUAUACAUGAUGUUUAUAUAUUAUAUACAGCUGGAGCUGUGAUCCUGGAGAGACCUGUUUAUAUAUGAUGUUUAUAUAUUAUAUACAGCUGGAGCUGUGAUCCUGGAGAGCCCUGCCCUUCCUGUGACUGAGGGAGAUUCUGUGACUCUGCGCUGCAGACAUCAGGGAACUCUCUCUAACCUCACAGCUGAUUUCUACAAAGAUGGAUCCCUGAUCAGGACUGAGACUACAGGAGAGAUGACUAUCCCUGCAGUAUCCAAGUCAGAUGAAGGACUCUACAAGUGUACCAACUCCAGCUCUGAAGGAGAAUCACCAGAGAGCUGGAUGACUGUGACAGUUUCAACUCCCAUUCCAUCUCCAGCAGCCCCAGUUUUGUCCAUGUCUCCACCCAUUCCAUCUCCAGCAGUCCCAGUGUUGUCCAUGUCUCUACCCAGGCUGCUGUGUAGUCUACUGGUGGGGUCUCCCUACCUGCUGGUGACCAUCAUACUGCUGGUGAAAGGCUGCAGGAGCAGGGCUCAAGGUGAUCGUGUUGAAGAAGAGUGAGGCUGAGUUCACCUGAUCACCAUAACAACCAUCAGAAUGGAACUCAUGGAAUUCUAAUAUAGAACUGUGAGUCACAAUGCUGUAUGUUGUUACAUUGUAGCUCCACCUGCUGGAACAAUAGUGGCAUUUGAUCAAAUGUGAUCUAUUAACAGAUACAUGUAUUAUUCUGAUUGGAAUGCGUUUUAAUAUAAUGUGUGUUGUAUUAUUCAUUCAGCAGCUGUCCUUUAACAUCAGUCAUAUACUGGUCAUAUACUGUAUAGCAUUAUGGUUGAUACAUUGUAAAUGCCUUCACUUCUCAUGUCUAUACAGAUCAACUGAUAGGUGUUGAGGUUCAGGCAUUAUUGUUACAGGUUCAGUAUAAUGUUAUACCGUUACAUGUUACAGAGUUAGAAAACAUACAGGAGAGGAGAAUUCAAUUGUUAUAAUUAUUUACUAUAUUUUCCCAUUUUGGUCUCAUUAUGUUAUUUUGUUUCAACAUAACUAAUGUAGGCCUUUUGUUUUAUUGUGUUUUUGUGCAAAACCAUUAUUUUUCAAUGAAUCAUCCUGGUAAGAUAUUGCUUUUGUCUUUGUAGCAUAUAGAAUUAAAUGAAUGAUUUUCCUCAA